AAAUUUUUAAAUUAAAUUAAUUUUUUAAUUUAAUUUGAUUUUACUGAUUUAAUCGGUUCAGACUCUACUUUUGCUCACCCCUGUAUAUAAGCUACCAGUCUCCUGGAGCCUUUCCGGCAAAUAAUUAGCUGGUCACAAGCCGGAGUUUGCGGCUCCCAGAGACUGCUUUCGAGCUUGGAUCACCAUUUAAUUUAAUUAUUGGAGACAUAAUGUCUCCAAUAAUUAAAUUAAAUGGUGAUUCAAGUUCUCGUUCUGUUUCCUUUUUCUCUCAUGUGGGGCCCAGCCGCCCUCCUUCGCAGGUGAUUGAUGUGCAUCGCUCGUCCGAGACGGGUUCAGAGUAUCGCGCGUGCGUGGGAGGGCGAAAGGACGAGGCUAAGGGAGAGGACGCCAGGCCAGGGAGACACCAUCUCCACUCUCCACUCCAUUGCUCAACCCCGACGCUCUCAGUGAGAUGACGGACGGCCAUCUCUUCAACAACAUCCUCCUCGGAGGCUGUGGCGGAACAAUUUCUCAUGCAGAAGAUUCUAAGGGCGUGAUGGCCAUAGAGAUGAUGUAUUUUGAAUGUUCAUUCUUACAUUUUAUGAGGGCCAGUGAUUCUUUAGGAGAUCAUUUAUUAGUGAACACAAGUUUUACCAUUAUGGAGGCUCUACGGUUCUUGCUUUCUGUUAGCAGUUGUCCAAACAUCACUAUCUCAAGCCAAUAGAAUGCGUAGCAUGGAAUUUGGAGUGUUGAAACGAAUUACACCAGAAGAAUUGCUCUAUGCAUGUUUAAUAUUCUACAGGACACAAGACUUUUUUUUCUAACGGCAUUCAUUUAUGGCAGUCACUUUCUGGGUGGUGAUUCAUAGAUUGGCUGGUUCAGCUUUCUUUCUUUUGAUGAAAACCGGCAAAUGAAAUUAUUCUUAAUUAAGCCAAUGAAGAAGCAACUGCUUUCACCAGGGAAAUGCAGAUUAUCAAAUUGGUAAGCAUCUAAAAGAUAAAGUCAUACGGGCUUUAGAUUAUUCGCUGACUAUUGCAAGAAUUUCAGUAUAGGUUCGACAUUGGUUAACUUUCUAGCCAAACCUGUACUACUUGUCAUAACUUAAAUUAUUAUGCAUAGACAUUUUUGUAUGUUAGGUAUGCUUUAUUUCAAACAGCAGUCCAAGACAAUUGGCAUGAAUAUUUAGGGCGUACUUUGCUUUCGGCCUCUUGCAGCAGCGCCCAACCAGUGUUACUCAUUUGGUUUGGUGCUUCCCCUGACGAGUGUGCUGCCCCGAUGAGGACGGCAAUUGGGUCCCAACAGGUAAAGGGUGGUCUAACGAGCACGUGUUUUCAGAACCCAACGACUUGGUUGUCGGACACUGGCAUGGACUGGCGUGCAUGCUGGUUAAAUAGCAUACAUUUGUGCAUGUAAAUUAAUUAUUCAGUUGAUCUCCUAUGCAAAAGAAAAGAAAAGAAAAGAGAAGAAC